ACUUUCAGUCGUGAGGAAGGUAGUGUAGUUAAUAGCUGCAUUAUUUGACGUUAGCGACAGAAGAAGCACCGGCUAACUCCGUGCCAGCAGCCGCGGUAAUACGGAGGGUGCGAGCGUUAAUCGGAAUUACUGGGCGUAAAGCGCAUGCAGGUGGUUUGUUAAGUCAGAUGUGAAAGCCCGGGGCUCAACCUCGGAAUUGCAUUUGAAACUGGCAGACUAGAGUACUGUAGAGGGGGG
rnacentral:rRNA from 1 species